CAUCGCGAUGCUCUUCAGUCAUGGAGAGAUCGUGAUGAGGAUACUAUCAAAGCGCCAGCUCAAGGAGUUGGUCCUGUACUCGCCGCAGCACGUCGCGAGGCUGGAAAAGGCCGGGGCAUUCCCCAAGCGGGUAAACCUCGGACCCAACCGGGUCGGAUGGGUUGAGGAUGAAGUGCUGGAUUGGCUCCAAGACCGGCUGGACCGCCGAGAAGCACCUGACCGACACUCCUGAAAAGGAGCAAGGGUGGCCGGGUGUGCACAGCU
rnacentral:ncRNA from 1 species